GGUGGAGGCCAGCCCAGAAGGGGGCGGGGAGGGCUCCAAGUGGGAAAGUGGCCCCGUCCCUUCCCGGCAGGAACCCGGGCUCCUCCUCCGCCUGCUGCACCGCCAUCAAUCACCUCGACAGCCCAAUCGCCCCCAGCCCGGACUCACCGACUCCCCCGAGGGGCUUUUGCCCCCGGGGGAGGUAAUUUCGUGCCGGGGAGCGUCUGCCCUGCGCAACGGCCAAAAACACGGGCCGGGUCUGCGCUGGGCACCGGGCGUGCGACCCGACGGGCGCGGGGCGCACUUGACACCCUACAGGCGUCCCCGCAGGUAAACUCGAUCAAGGUCCCUACCUCCGCCGCCACGCGCGCGCACCCGCACCUCGAACCACCGCGCCCGCAGCCUCGUCGGCCCCUCACCCAUUCCCGAGGAAGUCCGCUGAAGGUCCCGCAGGACCCUGCCCGGAAGGUCACCCUGCCCCCUUCCCGGAGUCCCCACUCCCUGGCGCCCCUUCCUCGUCCGUCCCCACGAUCCCCGGCUCUCCUCCGGAGGGGAGGAGCGUGCACCGAGCAGCACCCUCUGCCCGCAACCCCGCAGAGCCCCGGCCCGCGCCCAGAAGUCUCCCUGCGCGCAGGGUGCGGGCACAGGGGGUGGGGUCUCCACUGCCACCGCCCCUUACCUCGCGCAGGCCCUCCCCGCAGGUCUCGGAGGCGGGGGCGACCGGUGGCCCCGCGGACUGGCGCGGGGCUGACUUUCCCCUCCCGGGAGGAGCAGGAGGAGGAGGAAGGGAGGCGAGGGAAGGGCUUUGUGUCUGCCUCCCGCCCUCCCCCGGCUCCAGCGCUAGCCAUCCCCCUCCCCCAACCGCCCUCCGGUGCUUGGGAGGGAUGGGCGGGGGAGCCCAGGGGGCGAGGAAGGCGCCUGCGCGACCCGGGUCCGCCCCCGCCCCUCCCCGGCACCGCCCACCCUCCGCCUCCCGGACGCGCUGCCUCUGCGCUUGCCCGGGGACCUGGGACCCGGGUUGCAGGGAGGAGAGCUGGACCAGAAAGUUUAUUUAACCCGGGGCGAACUUGGCUGGCCCUGCUCUCCACCCGCCUCGGCGCCGCCGACCCGCUCUUCUCACUCCCCUGGGAGGACGGGAGUUUUGUUUUCGGAGAUUCUGCCAGCCCAGGAGCCGAAGAGGAGGCUUGGCUUUCUCUGAUGCUGGUUCUUGUGAAUCCUGCCUUCGAAAAUCCCACGGUUGUUUAUCAUUUGUAAUCGGCUCAGCUCCCGGGAAAACAACCCACUGCGCUUCUGUUCCAAGUCACCCAUUCAAUAAAUAAUUGAGCACCUGCUGUGUGCUCUGAUGU
rnacentral:lncRNA from 1 species